AAGUCGUAACAAGGUUCCCGUAGGUGAACCUGCGGAAGGAUCAUUA
rnacentral:rRNA from 2 species